rnacentral:rRNA from 1 species
UACGAAGGGUGCAAACGUUGCUCGGAAUUAUUGGGCGUAAAGCGCACGUAGGCGGCUUGGCAAGUCGGAUGUGAAAUCCCUCGGCUCAACCAAGGAAGUGCAUCGAAACUGCUAAGCUUGAGUACUUAAGAGGAUCGCGGAAUUCCCGGUGUAGAGGUGAAAUUCGUAGAUAUCGGGAGGAACACCAGUGGCGAAGGCGGCGAUCUGGGAAGAUACUGACGCUGAGGUGCGAAAGCGUGGGGAGCAAACAGG